rnacentral:snRNA from 1 species
GGAUGUGAAGGCAAUCUGGCUGUGACAUCUGUCACCCCAUUGAUUGCCAGGGUUGAUUCGGCUGAUGUGGAUGGCUAGGUGGGUGUCCCCUUCCUCCCUCAUUGCUCCAUGUGCAUCCUUCACAAAGCUGCACACUCAGUCGAAGAGAACCAGUCUUGAUAGAGAGGACCAGUCUUUGGUGAAGGGCAUGGAAGUAGCUGCAUUCCACUAUUAGAACCUCCAAACAAGCUCUCAAGAUUGCAAUUUAUUAAAUAAUCGAUUCAUUCAUUUUUUAUUAUUUUAAAACCAUUUAUAUUGAAAUAAUUAU